rnacentral:rRNA from 1 species
ACAUGCAGUCGAGCGAUGCGGUACUUCUUCGGAAGUACCAAUUAGCGGCGGACGGGUGAGUAACACGUGGGUAACCUGCCUCAAGGAGGAGAAUAGCCUUCCGAAAGGAAGAUUAAUACUGCAUAAUAUGUUUUAGUCACAUGACUAGAACAUCAAAGGAAUUUUCUUUUAGAUUAUUCCACUUUGAGAUGGACCCGCGGCGCAUUAGCUAGUUGGUGAGGUAAAGGCCCACCAAGGCAACGAUGCGUAGCCGACCUGAGAGGGUGAUCGGCCACAUUGGAACUGAGACACGGUCCAGACUCCUACGGGAGGCAGCAGUGGGGAAUAUUGCGCAAUGGGGGAAACCCUGACGCAGCAACGCCGCGUGAAUGAUGAAGGCCUUAGGGUUGUAAAGUUCUGUCUUCUGGGACGAUAAUGACGGUACCAGAGGAGGAAGCCACGGCUAACUACGUGCCAGCAGCCGCGGUAAUACGUAGGUGGCAAGCGUUGUCCGGAUUUACUGGGCGUAAAGGAUGCGUAGGCGGACAUUUAAGUCAGAUGUGAAAUACCCGAGCUUAACUUGGGUGCUGCAUUUGAAACUGGGUGUCUAGAGUGCAGGAGAGGUAAGUGGAAUUCCU